UCGACGAAAGCUUUUGCUUUAGUGGCGAACGGGUGAGUAACACGUAAGAAUCUACCUUCAGGAGGGAGAUAACAAUUGGAAACGAUUGCUAAUAUCCCAUAUGCUGCAAAGUGAAAUAUUUUUUGCCUGAAGAUGAGCUUGCGUCUGAUUAGCUAGUUGGUAAGGUAAUGGCUUACCAAGGCAACGAUCAGUAGCUGGUUUGAGAGGAUGAUCAGCCACACUGGAACUGAGACACGGUCCAGACUUCUACGGAAGGCAGCAGUGGGGAAUUUUCCGCAAUGGGCGCAAGCCUGACGGAGCAAUACCGCGUGAAGGAUGAAUGCCUGUGGGUUGUAAACUUCUUUUAUUAGGGAAGAAAUAAUGACGGUACCUAAUGAAUAAGCAUCGGCUAACUUCGUGCCAGCAGCCGCGGUAAUACGGGGGAUGCAAGCGUUAUCCGGAAUUAUUGGGCGUAAAGAGUCUGUAGGUUGUUUAAUAAGUCUGCUGUUAAAUAUUAGAGCUUAACUCUAAGCAAGCAGUGGAAACUAUUAAGCUAGAGUAUGGUAGAGGCAAAGGGAAUUCCCAGUGUAGCGGUGAAAUGCGUAGAUAUUGGGAAGAACACCAGAAGCGAAAGCGCUUUGCUGGACCAUUACUGACACUCAGAGACGAAAGCUAGGGGAGCAAAUGGGAUUAGAUACCCCAGUAGUCCUAGCCGUAAACGAUGGAUACUAGAUGUUGCGCGUAUCGAUCCGUGCAGUAUCGUAGCUAACGCGUUAAGUAUCCCGCCUGGGAAGUAUGCUCGCAAGAGUGAAACUCAAAGGAAUUGAC
rnacentral:rRNA from 1 species